AGAGUUUGAUCAUGGCUCAGAAUCAACGCUGGCGGCGCGCUUAACACAUGCAAGUCGCACGAGAAAGUGGAGCAAUCCAUGAGUAAAGUGGCGUACGGGUGAGUAACACGUGGAUCAUUUACCUCUUGGUGGGGAAUAACCCUGGGAAACCGGGGCUAAUACCGCAUAAGCCUGCGAAGGGAAAGCGACGUCUUAAAAACGCCGCGCCGAGAGAGGAGUCCGCGGCCGAUUAGCUUGUUGGUAGGGUAAUGGCCUACCAAGGCAAUGAUCGGUAGCCGGCCUGAGAGGGCACACGGCCACACUGGCACUGAAACACGGGCCAGACUCCUACGGGAGGCAGCAGUGGGGAAUCUUGCACAAUGGGGGCAACCCUGAUGCAGCGACGCCGCGUGAGCGAUGAAGCCCUUCGGGGUGUAAAGCUCUUUCGGCGGGAACGAUAAUGACGGUACCCGCAGAAGAAGCUGCGGCUAACUACGUGCCAGCAGCCGCGGUAAUACGUAGGCAGCAAGCGUUGUUCGGAGUUACUGGGCGUAAAGAGUGUGUAGGCGGUUCUCUAAGUUCCGUGUGAAAUCUCCCGGCUCAACUGGGAGGGUGCGCGGAAAACUGGAGGGCUUGAGUAUGGGAGAGGAAAGCGGAAUUCCUGGUGUAGCGGUGAAAUGCGUAGAUAUCAGGAGGAACACCUGCGGUGUAGACAGCUUUCUGGACCAUCACUGACGCUGAGACACGAAAGCGUGGGUAGCAAACAGGAUUAGAUACCCUAGUAGUCC
rnacentral:rRNA from 1 species